GCGGGCCUCGGUGGGGCGGGCCUCGGUGGGGCGGGGCCUCUGUGGGGGCGGGGCGUAAAACCCACCUCUGACCCGCUGGAAACGCACCUGUCUCAGGUGCCCUCCGCUCCCACCUUAUGGCGGUUUCUCUGCGCUUUCAUCUCCAGGUUUUAUUCAAGAGGGCCCCCACACUCCCAGGUUGCUCUUCCAUGAGUGCAAGGACACAGUGUGGGGCACCAAGCUCAAGACGGCCCCUGGACCUGGAUGCCGGCAAACAGACCCAGGACAAGACCAGAAAACUUGAUUUGUUUACGUGAUGGAAUGACUGCUCCAAGGCACGUGCACAGGGAGAAUGCCAUGUGAAGAUGAAGCAGACACGGGGAUGAAGCUUCUACAAGACAAGGAACACCAAGGAUGGUCAGCAAACCACCAGAGGCUGAGGGAGAAGCCUGGAAUGGAUUGUCCCUCACAGCCCCAGAAGGAACCAGCCCUACUGACACCUCGAUCUUGGACUUCUGGCCUCCAGAAUCGAGCGAGAAUAACUCUGUCUGUGGUGGUGUGUUAUAGAAGCCACAGGAAACCAGUACAGUAAUAUUCACCCUUGGGGAUUCUGGCUGCGUCUAAGAGCUCUUACAUCUUCCUGAUGGUCAGUCCCCAUCACGUGGAGCACAGGCCCCGAGAAGCUGGCCUCUGCCGCUGUUCGAACACGCCAAGCUCGCUUCUGCCCCAGCUGAUGAACUUGCUCCAUCUGCCGGGAAUGCUCUUCUCCACAUUCCACUUUCUGACUCUAUGAGUUUGAUGGCUCUCCAGACCUUGUAUAAGUGGAAUCACCCAGUAUUUGUCCUUUUGUGGCUGGCUUAUUUCACUUAGCAUAACGUCCUUAAGGUUCCAUCCAUGUUAUAGCGUAUGUCAGAAUUUCCUUCCUUUUUCAGGCUGAAUAAUAUGCCACUGUAUGGAUGGACCACAUUUUGCUUACCCCUUCAUCUGUUGAUGGACACUUGGGUUACCUCCACCUUUUGGCGAUUAGGAAUAAUGCUGUUACGAACAUGGGUGUGCAAAUGUCUUCUACACCUUUUUAAUCCCCCGCAAAGCGGUUACGAUUACAUUUGGAACUCUACGUUAUCAAAGGUCGAAUCCUUUUGUUCAUCGUUUUGGAUGAUCUCCAGAUUGGAGGCUCUGCAAGAGAAAGGACCCGGCAGGUCUGAUUUUCCAUUGUAUCUGAGCUGGGAGCACUGGGCCGGGCCCGAGGGAGAUGCGCGUCAGGGGAAAGGAAGGACGAAAGGAAGCUUGUUGAAGCUUGAACAGAUUGAUUAUGGAUUAUUUGCAUCAACAAAAGCAUGAAAAAAAUUUAAGCGAGGAAUCCCAGGCAGGAAAGAAACAGAAAUGCUUCCUCAUCAGUUUUAACAGCAAACAGUCUUUGAGUCACCAAGACCCUGAGGGUUCCUAGCUAAGGACUCAGACGGCUUACAGCGUCUAUCCCGCGUGGACUCUGAUUUUCUUCCAAGGUAACUGGGAGCCUGAGAAUUCCUUGAUCUGCUCUGCUAAUGGUGUCACAUGACGAUGAAGUGAGUCACUGUCAGCACACCUCUCUAAGCCUGACAAGCACCUGCCUGCAGUGAAGGAGGGACACAGCGCCUCCUGCAGACGGCGCCCUGUGGCUGCCCAUUCAUUUUGCUAUUCUCAGAAUUGCACUGCAAAGUGUUUUGUAGCUUUCAAAUUUUAAACAGUUCUUCCCGUGGGAUUUUAUUUCCCAAGAAAAGAAAUCUCUCGCAGGUGA
rnacentral:lncRNA from 1 species